rnacentral:rRNA from 1 species
CCUACGGGAGACAGCAGUGAGGAAUAUUGGUCAAUGGACGCAAGUCUGAACCAGCCAUGCCGCGUGCAGGCAGACGGCUCUAUGAUUUGUAAACUGCUUUUGUACGAGGGUAAAUCCCGAUACGUGUAUCGUUUUGAAAGUAUCGUACGAUUAAGGAUCGGCUAACUCCGGGCCAGCAGCCGCGGCAAUACGGAGGAUUCAUGCGUUAUCCGGAUUUAUUGGGUUUAAAGGGUGCGUAGGCGGUUCGAUAAGUUAGAGGGGAAAGCCCGGGGCUCAACUCCGGCACUGCCUCUGAUACUGUCGGGCUAGAGUUAAGUGGCGGUAGGCGGAAUGUAUGGUGUAGCGGUGAAAUGCAGAG